rfam:Betaproteobacteria bacterium RIFCSPLOWO2_12_FTLL_68_19 rifcsplowo2_12_scaffold_2304, whole genome shotgun sequence.
UAGCGGGUAAGAGUCCCGUCCGGAUAAGCGCCAGAGCGACCGGUAGCAGGGUCCAGCUACGACUCGAAAGAGCCGUGGCCGAGCGGGCCGUCGAAAGCCUUGAAAGAGGAAGCAACGAAGCAGGCCGCAACACAG